rnacentral:rRNA from 1 species
UACGAAGGGGUGCAAGCGUUAAUCGGAAUUACUGGGCGUAAAGCGUGCGUAGGCGGUUUGUAAGUCUGUUGUGAAAUCCCCGGGCUCAACCUGGGAAUGGCAAUGGAUACUGGCAAGCUAGAGUGUGUCAGAGGAUGGUGGAAUUCCGGUGUAGCGGUGAAAUGCGUAGAGAUCGGGAGGAACAUCAGUGGCGAAGGCGGCCAUCUGGGACAACACUGACGCUGAGGCACGAAAGCGUGGGGAGCAAACAGG